CAAUUUAUGUGCAUAAUUGCAUAUACCUGUGGUCUCAUGCAAUUAAAAAUUAAAUCCUACACUCUGUGGAAUAUUGCUAGGUAGUGCAAAUUAUUCAAGGACUCAGCUUUGGGACAGUUAAUCCGCACAGUUGCGGUUGUCCAGAGUCCCAUCCAUUUUAGUGGGCCACUGUGUCCCAUUUGGGUGCUAGGUGUGUCAGGAGGACCCUUCUGUUGAAUUGAUAAUGUGCAUAAUUGCAUUUGUUCAUGUCCUGUGAACUAGUAACAUCCACCUGCUUUGUAUUCCAGCAGGGGACCCUUUUUAACUUAAGAGCGCUGCACUGGGACACUCUGCCUAUGCAAACCUAAUUGAUUAGACCUGAGCCUUUUGUAUUAGGAACCCUGCAUUAUCUUUACACCUAAAAGGUGCUAAUUGCCUAAGGCCAUUUCCUGCCCUAACGACUGUGUUUAAACUAGAGUCUCACACUCAAUAACCGCCUUUGCAUAAGAGUAGAGGAUACUUGUGACAGUUAAGUGGUUUGAUUGCAGCUACAGACCCUGCUGUUAGACUAGCAUCCAUUCCCCUCCUAGAUGAUUCACAUGACCACAAUCCGUACUAGGGACUGUUAAUGGGUUUAAAUGCAGCUACAGUCCUUUAUGUUAAUCUAGGAUCCCAUCCCCAACUCACUCUCUUUUCAUUACUGCAGGGCUUACAUAGGACUUGUUAACGACCUUUAUUGCCCUACUGUCGCUUCUGUUAGUCCAAGAUCCCAUAUCCUCCUAAAUCCUGUAUUACCGAAAGAAUAUAAGGGACUGUUAAAGUGCUUAAAGCAGUUACAGUCCCUUAUGUUUAUCUAGGACCCAUCCUCAACUAACUCCUUUUGCAUGACUGCAGAGGGUUCUUGGGACUGUUAAUGGGCUUUAUUGCAGCUACAGUCCCUUCUAUUAAUCUGGAUUCCUGUCCACUCCUACACAAUUUGCAUUACCACAGACUAUACAAGGGACUGUUAAUGUGUUUAAAUGGAGCUACAGUUCCUUAUGUUAAACUAGGAUCCCAUUUCCACCUAACUCCCUUUUCAUUAAUGCAGAGCCUACAUGGGACUAGUGGGCUUAUUUGCACUACUGUCCCUUCUUUUAUUCUAGGAUCCCAUCCCCACCUAAAUCCCUUUACAUUAUCACAGGGGAUAGAUACAAGGGACUGUUGUGCUUAAAUGUAGGUACAGCCCCCCCCUUUAACCCUAAGAUAUCUUUCCCACAUAAAUGCCUUUGCAUGACUGCAGAGGAUACUUGGGACUGUUAAUGGGCUUUAUUGUAGCCACAGUCUCUUUUCAUAGUCUGGGAUCCCAUCCCCUCUUAAAUGACUUACAUUACCGCAGAGGGCGCAAGGGACUGCAAAGGUGCUUAAAUGCAGGUAGUUGGUUUUUAAACCUAGGAUCCCAUUCCCAGCCUGACUUGCUUUGAAUUACUAUAGAGGCUACAAGGGACUCUUACGUGUUUAAGUGCAGGUACAGUGCCUUUUGUUAACCUCGAAAUCCAUUCUCACCUAACUCCCUUUUCCUGACUGCAAAGGGUAAUUGGGACUGUUAACGGGCUGUACUGCAGCCACAUUCCUCUUGUAGUCUAGGAUCCCAUUCCCUCCUAUUUGAUUUGCAUUACCCCAGAGGGUACAAGGGACUUUUAAAGUGCUUAAGUGGCACUAUAGUCCCUUAUGUUAUCUAGGACCCCAUUCCCAUCUAACUUUUCAUGACUGCAGAGUGUACUUGGGACUGUAAAUGUACUUAACUGCCUAUACAGUCUCACCCCUUAGUCCAAAUUACAUGCCCUCCUACUUGAAUUGUAUUAUAACAGAGGGUACAAGGGACUUUUAAUGUGCUUUUUUAAAAGCAGCUAAAUUUCCUUACCAUAACCUCAAAAUCCAUUUCCAUCUCAAAAUCCACUCCCACCUAACUCCCUUUCCAUCACAGCAGAGGGUACUUGGGACUGUUAAUAGGCUUAAUUAAAGCUAUUCUCCCUUCUGUUGGUCUAGAUUUCCUUUCCUGCCUCUAUUUGGAUUGUACCACAGUGUACAAUGGACUGUUAACUGUGCUUAAAUGCGGGUACAGUCCUUUUUUAAAACCUAGGAUCCUAUUCCCACCUAACUCCCUUUGCUUUACUGCAGAGGGUACUUGGGGCUUGUUAAUAGGCUUAGUUGGACUACAGUCCUUUGUUAGUCUAGGAUCCCAUCCCCUCCUACGUGAUUUGCAUUUCCACAAAGGCUACAAGGGACUGUUAAGGUGCUUAUUAAAUGCAAAUACAGUCCCUUAUGUUAACCUGGGAUCCCAUUCCCACCUAUCUCCCUUUGCGUGACUGCAAAGGUAUUUGAGACCUUUAAAGCAGUUAAUGGCUGCUGUAGCCUCUUCCAUUAUAAGUGUACUUUCCCAAGCACUCCAGCUCCAUGUAACCUGGGAGCACAUUUGGGGCUGUUAAUGCGCUCAUUUUUAGCUGUGGUCCCUUUUAUAAUUCUAGGAUCACAUCCCUUUCUGCUUCUUUGUGUUACUUGUUGGUAUUUGGGACAGAAAAGUACUUAAAUGCAGCUGUGAUCUAACUUAGGCUCCCAUGCCCUCUAACUUUUUACAUUACCCCAGUGUAUGUUUGGGACUGUUAAAGUGCUUAAUUGCAGCUGUGGUCCCCUCUGUUAGUCUAAUUUCCUAAGCUCACCAAUUCCCUUUGUAUUACAGCAGAGGGUACUUGGGACUGUUAAAGUGUUUAUUUGCAGCUCUGGUCCCUUCUCUUAGUCUGGGGUCCAUGCCCCCAGCUUUGUUUGCAUUACCGCAGAGGGUACUUGGAACUGUGAAUGUGCUUAAAUUCAGGUGUGGUCCCUUUUAAUUUAGGAUUGCUCGACUCCUUUUACCAGGGAGGGCAUUUGGGACUGUCAAGGUGGUAAGGGCACCUGCGUUCCUUUCUUUCUGUUCAUCUAGGAUCCCAUUCCC
rnacentral:lncRNA from 1 species